rnacentral:lncRNA from 10 species
CCGUGGGAGGGAAGGCACUCUCUGUCAAGCUGCUGUCACCUUACCUGAAGUAAGGAGUCCACGCCUGCAUGUCCGAGGAAAACAGUUUUCUCAAACACAUUAGUUGAAAAACUGAAGACGCUGCCUAAAAUACAAGCUGAGUUAGAGACAGCCCUUGUAAGACUAGAAAAAGAAAUGGAAACUAAGUAACAUGAAUUAACAUAGUCCAGGGUCACAAAGCAACAUGGAACAAGAACCUGGAUCUGAAUUCAGAGGCAGAAUGCUGGGAAAGGCCUUGUGAGGACAUAACCAGGAAGAGAGUCCUCACCAGAACCUGACCAUACCUGCACCCUGAUCUCAAGCUUCCAGCUUCCAGAACCAUGAGAAAUCAAUGUUUGUUGUUUUAGCCACCCAGUCUACAGAAAUUUGUUAUAGCCACCCUAGCUGACUACCACAUUGGACAUCACAGCAAACACUACAACCAGUAAGUCUCUGCUUGUAUUAACUGGAACAUUUCCAAAGCCUGUCCUACUCAGGAUAAAUGCACAAAAGAAAAAUUAGUAGUUGACGGCAGAAUUCUUAAGAGAGCAGUUUUGCAUUUUUUACCAAGUAAUACUUAUUUAACUUCUAGGGCAGUAAAGUAAGAGAAAUUGUUACUCUCCACCUCCUGCCAUCAUGAAUUUAGGAAAUGUAGAAAGUUAUUCUGUUAAUAAAGAUGUGAACUUGCUGUUGAAGAGAAAA